rnacentral:rRNA from 1 species
GGGGAAUCUUCCGCAAUGGACGAAAGUCUGACGGAGCAACGCCGCGUGAACGAUGACGGCCUUCGGGUUGUAAAGUUCUGUUAUACGGGACGAAUGGUACGACGGUCAAUACCCGUCGUAAGUGACGGUACCGUAAGAGAAAGCCACGGCUAACUACGUGCCAGCAGCCGCGGUAAUACGUAGGUGGCAAGCGUUGUCCGGAAUUAUUGGGCGAAAGGGCGCGCAGGCGGCGUCGUAAGUCGGUCUUAAAAGUGCGGGGCUUAACCCGGAGGGGACCAAAACUGGGGUGCUAGAGUAUCGGAGAGGGAAGCGGAAUUCCUAGUGUAGCGGUGAAAUGCGUAGAUAUUAGGAGGAACACCAGUGGCGAAAGCGGCUUUCUGGACGACAACUGACGCUGAGGCGCGAAAGCCAGGGGAGCAAACG